rnacentral:rRNA from 1 species
GACGAACGCUGGCGGCGCGCUUAACACAUGCAAGUCGAACGGAAAGGCCCUGCUUUUGUGGGGUGCUCGAGUGGCGAACGGGUGAGUAACACGUGAGUAACCUGCCCUUGACUUUGGGAUAACUUCAGGAAACUGGGGCUAAUACCGGAUAGGAGCUCCUGCUGCAUGGUGGGGGUUGGAAAGUUUCGGCGGUUGGGGAUGGACUCGCGGCUUAUCAGCUUGUUGGUGGGGUAGUGGCUUACCAAGGCUUUGACGGGUAGCCGGCCUGAGAGGGUGACCGGCCACAUUGGGGCUGAGAUACGGCCCAGACUCCUACGGGAGGCAGCAGUGGGGAAUAUUGCACAAUGGGCGGAAGCCUGAUGCAGCAACGCCGCGUGCGGGAUGACGGCCUUCGGGUUGUAAACCGCUUUCGCCUGUGACGAAGCGUGAGUGACGGUAAUGGGUAAAGAAGCACCGGCUAACUACGUG